GAAUUUUAAGAGAAGUCGAAGACAUACAAAUCAUACAACUGAAGCUGUAGGUAGAUAGCUGCUUUGGAUGCUGUGCCACCGAGUAUAUAAACACUCGGCGACACAGCUAAUCUGCGAGUAGCAGAAAUAGCGUAGUUUAGCCGAUCGAGUCGGAGCACCGGGCGUUACCACUUCAUUGCCCCGUCGAAACACAGUGUGGCAACACUGCGAAUCGACAAGCACAACUUCGUGGUAGCCCGGUGCCCCUCGGACGAAGCCCAAAAAAUUCCAGCACGCUGGCUUUUUUCGGCUUCGUUCGACUGGCUGCACUGUCGCUGAUCAAAAUAUUUACUUUUGACAAAAUGGCUUGUUUCUGUGUUUCGACUUCUCUUUACAUUAAAAAAUGGUUUAAAACGAACUAAUUAAAACCUUAAAACUAAUUUAAAAACUUGAUUAAAACGUAACAAUAUGAAUAGUUUAAAACUUUCAAACGGUUAAAACAACACCGUAGUGUUUUUAUAUACUUUUAUCGGGAGAAGCCCGUUACUUUAUGAUCGAUCACCGAUCUUCAUUUACAUUUCAAAGGAAAAAGAACAACAAUAUAAGAUUUCGAAGAUCGAACGAAGAAUACAACAAUCGGCCGCCAUGUUUUUGCUCGGUGAUUCACCGGUACUUAAUUUCAACACCAUUUCCAAAUUUGGAUUUUAUCUCGAUAUAUGAAGAUUCAAAUUUGUGACUAGAAUAUCGUUUAGUUUGCCCCGAGGCAUUUUGUAUUUAUUCGGUGAUAGCGAAUUACCCAUGACAGGUGAGUUCCGUUUUUGAAAAUUGAUUUGUCUUCGAAUUAUUAAUUUUUUUCUGCCCUUCGUAGGCUGUUUCGAUAAAUUUCCACGAUGAUACCGUUCGGUUCGAGAUGAUUUGUUUAACACGUUCGCCAAAUUUGGAUGAUAGAAAAAGAGUGGCCAUGUUGCCAGCGUAAUCGUUCGAUGCUUUUACUACUUGGAUUCAUCAAUACGACAUAGGUAAUUUGUUUUCCUAUAAUUUUGAUUUUAUUCGACGAGUUUAAUUUUGGAUUUUUCGUAGUACGAGAACUUUUUGCGCUGAAGGCGCUUUUGGAAAAACUAUCCGAACAGAUGAAAUACGACUUUACACGAUAAUUUUAUUUUGAUUUACCGAGCUAGUAUGUUGGAAGCUGGAUACUUUGA